AUACGUAGGGGGCGAGCGUUAUCCGGAUUUAUUGGGCGUAAAGCGUGUGUAGGCGGUUUGUUAAGUUUAAGAUUAAAGCCCGAGGCUUAACCUCGGUUCGUCUUAAAAACUGGCAGACUUGAGUGCAGUAGAGGCAAGUGGAAUUUCUAGUGUAGCGGUUAAAUGCGUAGAUAUUAGAAGGAACACCAGUGGCGAAGGCGGCUUGCUGGGCUGUUACUGACGCGGAGACACGAAAGCGUGGGGAGCAAAUAGGAUUAGAUACCCUAGUAGUCCACGCCGUAAACGAUGAGUACUAAGUGUCGGGUAACCGGUGCUGAAGUUAACACAUUAAGUACUCCGCCUGAGUAGUACGGUCGCAAGGCUGAAACUCAAAUGAAUUGGCGGGG
rnacentral:rRNA from 1 species